UACGUAGGGUGCAAGCGUUGUCCGGAAUUAUUGGGCGUAAAGAGCUCGUAGGCGGUCUGUCGCGUCGUCUGUGAAAUCCCGAGGCUCAACCUCGGGUCUGCAGGCGAUACGGGCAAACUGGAGUGUUGCAGGGGAGACUGGAAUUCCUGGUGUAGCGGUGAAAUGCGCAGAUAUCAGGAGGAACACCGGUGGCGAAGGCGGGUCUCUGGGCAACAACUGACGCUGAGGAGCGAAAGCGUGGGGAGCGAACAGG
rnacentral:rRNA from 1 species